UGACAUGAGUGCAUGGAAACAAACCUGGGC
rnacentral:piRNA from 1 species